UGUGUGCAUGCCUGUGUGCAGACAGCUGUAGUACGGAGCCUUUGGGUCAGAGCUCUGACUCCCCACCUGGUCUGGAGGCAGCCCUGGUCAGCCCCAAGAUUCCCGAGAGGAUGGGCCUGCUUCUUUUUCUCUAAGAUGAGGACAAGGAGCUGGAAGCAGGCUGCGGACCAUCAGGAUCUGUCAGCAGCCCCUCUAUCAAACUGGACCAGGGAUUCACCCAUCUCACAGAGCUGUUACAGGGAUGGAAACUAACCAGUGUGGGUUUCCUCUGCCUGGACCAUGCCUCUCACAGACAACCAGUCUUGUGGCUCAUUCACGCCCUCACCUCCUUUAGCAAUUGGCUGCAAUAUCUCCUCUCCCAGGCAUUACCUGAUUCCCCUUCUUAAAGUUGCAACUCACUGCCUCUACUCAGUCCUCCCUCCCUGACCCCUCCCUUGCUUAUAUUUGUCGAGGGGACAAUCACUGUCUUGUCAGAGACACAUCGGUAAUUACGAUGUGAAUCAUAAGCUUUAUGGCCUUCUUUUGCACAGGCCCCUUCCAGAAUUUGUUGUAAGUUCUUUGUGCAUUUUAAAUAAAUAUUUCCU
rnacentral:lncRNA from 1 species